UACGAAGGUCCCAAGCGUUAUCCGGAUUAUUGGGUUUAAAAGGGUGCGUAGGCGGACUAUUAAGUCAGUGGUGAAAGCCCCAAGCUUAACUUGGGAACUGCCAUUGAUACUGAUGGUCUUGAGUACAUUUGAGGUGGGCGGAAUGUGUCAUGUAGCGGUGAAAUGCUUAGAUAUGACACAGAACACCGAUUGCGAAGGCAGCU
rnacentral:rRNA from 1 species